GCGCUCGUAGCUCAGCUGGAUAGAGUGUCGGCCUCCGAAGCCGAAUGUCGGGUGUUCGAAUCACCUCGAGCGCACCA
rnacentral:tRNA from 6 species